UACGGAGGGGGCAAGCGUUAUUCGGAAUUAUUGGGCGUAAAGGGCGCGUAGGCGGCUAGAUGUGUCAAAGGUGAAAUCCCUCGGCUCAACUGAGGAACUGCCUUUGAAACUGUCUGGCUUGAGGCCGGGAGAGGGUAGCGGAAUUCCCAGUGUAGCGGUGAAAUGCGUAGAUAUUGGGAGGAACACCAGUGGCGAAGGCGGCUACCUGGACCGGUUCUGACGCUGAGGUGCGAAAGCGUGGGUAGCAAACAGG
rnacentral:rRNA from 1 species